rnacentral:rRNA from 1 species
AUACGUAGGGGGCGAGCGUUGUCCGGAAUUACUGGGCGUAAAGGGUGCGUAGGCGGUCUGUUAAGUCAGGUGUGAAAUACCACGGCUCAACUGUGGUGUUGCACUUGAAACUGGCAGGCUAGAGUGCAGGAGAGGGAAGCGGAAUUCCUAGUGUAGCGGUGAAAUGCGUAGAUAUUAGGAGGAACACCAGUGGCGAAGGCGGCUUCCUGGCCUGUAACUGACGCUGAGGCACGAAAGCGUGGGGAGCAAACAGGAUUAGAUACCCUGGUAGUCCACGCCGUAAACGAUGGAUACUAGGUGUAGGAGGGGUAUCGACCCCCUUCUGUGCCGUAGUUAACGCAAUAAGUAUCCCGCCUGGGGAGUACGGCCGCAAGGCUAAA